CAAGGCUGAGUCAAUUAAUGAUGGUGGCUGCUCCUCUGUGGUAACCUAUUUAAGAAGGGGAACCUGGGAGGAGUGGUGGGAGUUGUGAGAACAUCUGUGUAAACACCGAGGUCAGUGGAAGAAAGGAGGAGAAGGGGGAGGUGGGAACUGUG